AACCCGGCCUAGAGUGCACAAAAAAAAUCUGUCCUUAUCAGUUUAAUAUCUGAUACGUCCCCCCCAUCGGGGGACUACGUAUUAAAUGGAUUUUUCGAACAGGGAGUUGGAAAUGGGGCUUGCUCUGUCCGCUCCACGCAUCGACUCGGUAUAGCAGUACCUCCGGAAAUGGUGCAACACUU
rnacentral:snRNA from 2 species